GAUGAACGCUGGCGGCGUGCCUAAUACAUGCAAGUCGAGCGAACGGACGAGAAGCUUGCUUCUCUGAUGUUAGCGGCGGACGGGUGAGUAACACGUGGAUAACCUACCUAUAAGACUGGGAUAACUUCGGGAAACCGGAGCCAAUACCGGAUAAUAUUUUGAACCGCAUGGUUCAAAAGUGAAAGACGGUCUUGCUGUCACUUAUAGAUGGAUCCGCGCUGCAUUAGCUAGUUGGUAAGGUAACGGCUUACCAAGACAACGAUGCAUAGCCGACCUGAGAGGGUGAUCGGCCACACUGGAACUGAGACACGGUCCAGACUCCUACGGGAGGCAGCAGUAGGGAAUCUUCCGCAAUGGGCGAAAGCCUGACGGAGCAACGCCGCGUGAGUGAUGAAGGUCUUCGGAUCGUAAAACUCUGUUAUUAGGGAAGAACAUAUGUGUAAGUAACUGUGCACAUCUUGACGGUACCUAAUCAGAAAGCCACGGCUAACUACGUG
rnacentral:rRNA from 1 species